UGCGCCCAGGAUCCGAACCAGCGAAACCCUGGGCCCUGAAGUGGAGCACGUGAACUUAACUACUCGGCCAUGGGGCUGGCCCCGAUGAGGGCUUCAUUAUUAUUUAUCUACAUCGUGCUGGUAAAUAGCUUUACAAUUUACAAACUACUUUCCUGAAUGUUAUCUUGUUUGAGGCACUCUGCAGCCCAUAAGGAAGGCAGAACCAAAACGAGUGAAGAUCCAAGAAUGGUGAAGACCUGGCAGCUUUGGAAUAAAAGCACUCGACAUCAAAUUUUCUGCAUCCUGUAAUUCUUGUUGGCCAAGUUCUAUUUUAGCAUAUGAGUAUAAAUAAAAUUAUUCAAUGAGAUAAUAUCCAAAGGGCUCGAAGUGUGCUGACAGUUACCACCAUCUCAUUAAAUGCUUGUUUCCUCUGUCUAGUGAUGAUUCUCUGCCUCCGACCUCGAGGAGCAGCAAACCCAGCCCUUUUCCUGGGGUCCAGCUCGCCUGGCAGGAGGAUUCUGGGAAGGCAUGAAGCACAAAGUCUGCUCUUGGGAAAAGGGCAGGGGGAGCUGUCAUCCUGGCCAUCCUGCACGCUUUGCCCACACAUUUGCAGUCCUUGCCUUAUCUUCCCAGAAAGCCUAGAGGCUAGGUUGGCCUUGCUGACAUUUGACCCUGGCUUUCUCCCCCCACAACUCUCCCAGCCCCACUCUCAUCCCUGCCUCACCCCCAGGAUGUCAACCUUGAAGAAAGCCCAUACUGUGUGCUUGGUGGUCUGCAGAUCAGCUCCAAGUAGGAGUACUGAUGCUUGGAGUGCCACUCACCCAGGAGAUCAUACGCCUGAGCUUCACUCUGGGCACCCACCCUGCUAGAUGCCAGUGGAUACAGAAGCGAAAGAGGAAAAUGAAGAAAUGCCACACAGCACACCCAGCACAGCUGUGAGCUGCCCAGCAUCGUCACUGCAGCUCCAGUCUGCCACAUGCCAGCCUGGUGGAAGGAUUUACUUAAAAUGAAGUCAAAGAGAGUUGAAAAACUAACUACAAGCAGAGGCCUGUGUCUGCUUUUCACAGGCCUUAUUUCAACACUGGCUUCCUACAAAAUCUCAGUGCCCAAGCUCUGGCCACUUUCUGUAACAUGCCUCCCCUCGCUCUGCCCUUGCCUUCCGUGUCUCACUCUGCAUUAUGCAUUCCACUUUCUAGUCCCUCCAUCUUCUUUCCUCCUGUUUUUCUUCUUCCUCCUCUUUCUUCUCCCUUCUUCCUCACCUAUUCGAUUUGCUCAGCACUUGACAGUUAUGAAGCUCUGAUAGAACAUCAGACAUAAUGAGUUCAGUGGCAUAUGUGACAGAGAUGAAGAAAAGAGAUGGAGACUCUGUUAGCAUAAUGACCACCAGAGCUACCCUAUAAGAGGGAACAGCAUCUUGUAGAUGCUUCAUCCUGACGCUGGGCUUUGGAAAAGCAGCCCUUGUCUUUCAUCUCCAAUGAGCAAGAACUAAAGACUGACACCUAUGCUUGUGUUUUGUGAGAUGUCUGUCUUGGUUUCGGUUCCCCCAAAGCAGACCUUGAAACAGGGGCUCAAGUGCAAAUAGUCUAUUUGGGAGGUGAUUCCAGGAAACACUAGUGGGGAGAGAGGAAGUGAGACAAAGGAGCUUCCAGAAGGAAGCCACUAAAGGGUGCAUUAUAAGGUGUUAAGUUACUAUGGGGACAACUAGAGCUCAGAUCUGCUGAGAACUCUAGAAGACAAUGUGGAAGGUGCCUCAGGGUUGUCCCCACUGCGGGGUGAGGAAGCUGGGCUACACAGACACUUCUGUCAUUAGUUGGGAGCUGCUUUCAGAGCUGAGCCAUUAACUCCCUGGCACUUCCCACCUUCCCUGUGCAGAGGUGAAGUGUGUUGCUGUGGCCAGAACAAAGCCCUCAGGCCGAGUCCCAGGUGUUUGCCGUGAGCGGUCUCUGGUGUGAAGAGGUGAGUGCUGAAAGGAUUUCAGCAGGCCAACAGCAACAUCUGCUAUAAACCGCUGUAGCCUUCCAAUCAGCACCCUUGAACUUGAGCCACGUUGAGUGGGUUUCUAUCCCUUGAAACUCAACAUCCCCUCACUAAGAUAUCCCACCUUUCCCUCAUUACUCCUAGGAGCUAUUCAAGGUAGUGCCAAGUUCCCUCACUCUCCUCCUUUCUCUUGUCCCUGGGGCCUUAAAAUGUCCCUCUCCUCCACCUCAAAAUGUCUUUGGAUCAUUCUUUUUUUCUUUGCUCUGGGCUUGGAAUAUUUUCUUUUCACCUGAGCUUUUGUACACACACACAAACACACACACGCUGCUUCCUCCAAGACUUUGUUCUGUUAUCAGUUACCCUCCUUGAAUGAUGAGCAAGAGUUCUGAAGAGAGUGUUCCAGGCAAUGGAAGCAGCAGGAGCCCACACUUAAACUGGGUCUAAGGGUGCCCUGCCCAAUGGAUCCCAUCUCCCAUAAUACAAAAUCCAGUUCCUGAGCCUUGAAUUCAGUACCAUAAUCCAAUUUACUUUUUUUUUUUUUAUACCUAAUCUACUUCUGUCUUUUCCUAUACAUCUCACUAAUCAACAAACAUUUAUGAGGGCUUUACUAUAUACCAGGCAUGGGUAAGGGACCAGGGAGGAGCAGUGAAUAAGACAGACACAGUGACACAGUCCCUGUCUUCAUGGAGUCUGCAGCCCAUUAGGGGUGGAGAAGAGAGAGAUGAGGUGGAGAUCAUAGGAAGGUUGCCCUUCUCUGAGCCAAAAAGCAUUCAGGAGAGGAGCCCAGAACGACCUGCCCUCCUGGCCUCUGUGCCUCUCCCCAUCUGUGUCCAGCCUCCAAUAAUUCCCACCUCCUGGUAUUCACACCUGGGGUAGUUCCUUCCCACACUGGGCCAGUCGGUCUCUAUGACCAAGAGAAUACAGCAGAAGUAAUGAUAUGUCACUUCUGAGAUUAGGUUAUAAAAGACACUGCAGCCUUUGUCUGGGGCUCUCUUUUUUUUCUCUCUCUCUCUCAGAUCAUUUGGUCUGAGAUUCAGUUGCCAUAUUAUAAGCAUCUCUGUGGAGAAACUGAGACUUCCAGCAAACAGCCACAUGGAUGACUCGUCUUAGAAGUAGAUCCUCCAGCCCCAGUCAAACCUUCUGAUGACUGCAGACCCAGUGAUGCAAUCUCCUGAGAGACUCUUAGGCAGAACCACCUCACUCAGCUGCUCCCCAAUUUCUGACCCUCAGAAAUUGUGUGACAUAAUAAAUCUUUAUUUUUUUAAGCCACUAUAUUUUGGGGUAAUUUGUUACACAGCAAUAGAUAACUAACAUACCACCUUUCACUCUAUUACCUUUCCCUUGAUAUCCAGGGCCUUUCUGCUUAUCCCUUAUGGUUCUCAUUGUCCACCUGCUCACCAGCAUCUCUUGGUGGGCCCAACAGAAAACAUUACGACAUGAUUCCAAAGGUGCUUUCAAAGCCUCAAAGUUAGCUAAAACCCUACACACUUACACACUUUCCUUUCCCUUAGCAGUUUUUUCCCUUAAUUUAUGUUCCCUUAUACAAUUCAAGGUGAAAAAGAAGCCACAAGUUCCUAAUUCAUUUAUACUCUCCUCUUCCACAUGGCCUUGUGAGAGUGAUUUCGUGUGAGAAAGGUCUCUCUCUGAACCCCUUAAAGCUUCUGCUCUUCUACUGUGAACAAAAGAAGUGAGCUAGCCAAGAAUAAAUGGAAUUUGGACCUCAAAAGGUUGGAGCUGGAUCUUAAAUCUGGAAUUCGUGCUCUCUGAGUGGGUUCCAAACUGGAAGCUUCCUUGCCCUCCUCUGAUUCAGUCUCUCUUCCUCAUUGGACUGUUCUGUCCACCAGAGAUAUGGAAACACUUCCCACGGUGGCUUCCUUGGAGAGCAUGAAGGAAGGAGUCACUCAAGUACAGAAUUAUCUUAAAGCUACAGUGCAGGGCUUGGACAGGCUUAGAAUGACUCAUGGGGCUGGCUUCUCUAUCAGCAGAGGAUUCAAGCUCUGGACUUGGUUUUCCCCUUUUUGUUCUAAUUUUCAAUCCUGAGAAGGAGCUCUGAAAAUUCCCAAGGAACAUUAAACCAUCUACCUGCCCCAGGUCACCACCCUAAGAUUUGGCAUUGAGGAACCAUUUCUCCAGGCUUUGUGAUAGCCCAGUGUGGGACACAAGACAGAAAAGACAGAAGCAGUUUUAGUUAUUUUGGUAACAUUAGUUGUGUCCCUCUCCUUUGGAAUGAGUGCAAAUUCUUCUGAAAGGCAUAAAGGAGAUAGGGGGAUACAGAAUACUAUUUAUUGAGUCCCUACUAUGUACAAGAUUGUUACUUCAUUCCUCACAGGAACCCAGUGAGGGAGGAUUUGGUGGCAGUUUUAGAACAUGGCUUCAAAUUCUUUGAUCGUCCUCUCACUGAGAGGCAGAGUUUAUUCUGUAUCCUCUACCCUUGAAUCUGGGGAGGCUGGUGACUUCUUUGACUGUACAGUGUGGUGAAAAUGAUGCUAUGUGACUCCCAAGGCCAGGUCAUAAAAUGCCACAAAGUUCCUGCCUUGUUGGCUGGGACACUCAUUCUUGGUACCUGGAGUCAUCAUGUAGGAUGUCCCAGAGCCCAGAGGCCACCACUCUGUGAAGAAGCCCAAACCAUAUGGAGAAGCCAUACAUAGAUGGUCUGGUCAACAGUCCCAAUUUAGCCCAGUUUCAAAUCAUCCCAGCUGAAGCCCCAAACAUCAUGAAGCAGAAACGACCCGUCCCCAUUGUGCCUUGGUCCAAAUUGCUGACCCAGAGAAUCUGUGAGCAUGACAAAUUGGUUGUUUUUAUGCCAUUAGGUUUAGGAUUAUUUGUUACACAGCAAUAAACAACUAUAACAGUAUUAUUUUUCCUUUUGCACUGAUGUGGAAACUGAGACUUGGAGAAAUUAAAUUUUAAGGCCAGUAAGUGACAAAAAGAUGAUUUGAACUUGGGUCUCUAACUAUAAAAGUCAGGUCUCUGACUUUUUCCAAGAGGGGCCCAAUCUGGGGCUGGCCUGGUGGCUCAGUGGUUAAGUUCACACAUUCUGCUUCAGAGG